AAAAAAAACUUUGGUACACUCGACCGGUUUACUCUGUUGGUUUGUGUUUUUGGUUUUGUUGGGACUAACGUAUUAACGUUUAUCUUUGAGUUUAAUUUUGUUUUCAGGUUUCAUCAUGAGUAACUACAGUGGAGAAUCCUCAAUGGAUCCUGACUAUAAUGUAGAAGAAGCUGAGUCCUGGUCCACUAGACCGGAGAGAGAGCAACAUGUUUACGAGAGCUUCAGGGAUGAAUUUGAACGAUCCGCAGCUCGACGUAAUCAGAGAAGAGCUGAAAUCGCCAGAGGAAAGAGGGCGAUGUUGAGUAGAUAUGCGCUGAUUGAUGAGGACAUCGAAACUGAGUAUGAGCCAGAGUCAUGGCGUGAGGAGAGGAAGUUGCUGAACAAACCCGACGAGGUUACAGUGGAGGAGUAUAUAAGAUUCUUUGAGAUGAAUGACUUCUGGGGAACGAGGUAUCCGUGCUAUGAGACUUUAGCCCAGCUGGGGUUACUGGAGGACGUGCAGCAUCUGUUCGAAAAGUGCCAUCUGGAGACACUCAUGUCUUACCCUUACGCUGCUUAUAAGGAGGAGACAAUCGAGUUUCUUUCCACGCUGCAAGUGGAGAUGUAUGAGGGACUCACAGACUUUGAGCUGGAUACCAUGGGUUUAGGCUUCUUGACGUUCUCAAUAGAUGAACAACGGUAUCGGCUUUCGAUCAAGAACUUGGAAGAACUGUUUGGUUUCCCUAGUGGAAAGAGAACCAAACCCAGCAUUUAUAUCUCCGGAUGUAUGCAUGCAUAGGAUCCACCUUGAGGAUGAAUCUAAGUCUUCAGUUGAACAUUAGAGAAGGCUGAAUCCAAAUCUGAAAGAAGUGGUUAAGAAAGAGAUUAUGAAACUGUUGGAAGCAGGGAUUAUCUAUCGAAUUUCACAUAGCAGUUUGGUUAGUCCAGUUCAUGUAGUUCCUAAGAAGGGAGGUGUUACAGUAGUCAAGAAUGAGAAAGAUGAGCUGAUUCCUACUCGAACAAUCACAGGCCAUCGGAUGUGCAUCGAUUACAGAAAGCUGAAUGCUGCUACUAGGAAAGACCAUUUCCCCUUACCAUUUAUCGAUUAGAUGUUGGAGAGGUUAGCAAAUCAUAAGUACUAUUGCUUUUUUGAUGGAUACUUAGGAUUCUUUCAGAUCCCGAUUCAUCCAGACGACCAGGAGAAAACGACUUUCACUUGCCCCUAUGGUACAUUUGCUUAUCGGAGAAUGCCCUUUAGUCUUUGUAAUGCUCCUGCAACAUUUUAUAGAGGUAUGAUGUCUAUCUUCACAAACAUGAU
rnacentral:sRNA from 1 species